CGAGCGGUAGGCCCUUUCGGGGGUACACGAGCGGCGAACGGGUGAGUAACACGUGGGUGACCUGCCCUCAGCUCUGGGAUAAGCCUGGGAAAACCGGGUCUAAUACCGGAUAUGACCUCCUGUCGCAUGGCGGGUGGUGGAAAGUUUUUUCGGCUGAGGAUGGGCCCGCGGCCUAUCAGCUUGUUGGUGGGGUGAUGGCCUACCAAGGCGACGACGGGUAGCCGGCCUGAGAGGGCGACCGGCCACACUGGGACUGAGACACGGCCCAGACUCCUACGGGAGGCAGCAGUGGGGAAUAUUGCGCAAUGGGCGAAAGCCUGACGCAGCGACGCCGCGUGGGGGAUGACGGCCUUCGGGUUGUAAACCUCUUUCGCCAUCGACGAAGCCCUUCGGGGUGACGGUAGGUGGAGAAGAAGCACCGGCCAACUACGUGCCAGCAGCCGCGGUAAUACGUAGGGUGCGAGCGUUGUCCGGAAUUAUUGGGCGUAAAGAGCUCGUAGGCGGUGUGUCGCGUCGGUCGUGAAAACUUGGGGCUUAACCCUGAGCUUGCGGUCGAUACGGGCAUCACUUGAGUUCGGCAGGGGAGACUGGAAUUCCUGGUGUAGCGGUGAAAUGCGCAGAUAUCAGGAGGAACACCGGUGGCGAAG
rnacentral:rRNA from 1 species